rnacentral:rRNA from 1 species
AGUGAACGCUGGCGGUAGGCCUAACACAUGCAAGUCGAACGGCAGCACAGUAAGAGCUUGCUCUUACGGGUGGCGAGUGGCGGACGGGUGAGGAAUACAUCGGAAUCUACUUUUUCGUGGGGGAUAACGUAGGGAAACUUACGCUAAUACCGCAUACGACCUACGGGUGAAAGCAGGGGAUCUUCGGACCUUGCGCGAUUGAAUGAGCCGAUGUCGGAUUAGCUAGUUGGCGGGGUAAAGGCCCACCAAGGCGACGAUCCGUAGCUGGUCUGAGAGGAUGUUCAGCCAAACUGAAACUGAGACACGGUCCAGACCCUUGCGGAGGGCAGCGGUGGGGAAUAUUGGACAAGGGGGGCAAGCCUGAUCCAGCCAUACCGGGGGGGUGAAGAAGGCCUUCGGGUGGUAAAGCCCUUUUGUGGGGAAAAAAAGGCAGCGGGUUAAUACCCGGCUGUUCGGAGGUAACCCAAGAAUAAGCACCGGCUAACUUCGUG